rfam:Canis lupus familiaris chromosome 32, whole genome shotgun sequence.
AUGUGAGGGUGAUCUGGUUGUGACAUCUGUCACCCCAUUGAUCACAAGGGUUGGCUUGGAUGAUCUGGCUGGCUAAGUUGGUGUCCCAGUUCCUCCCUUAUGGCUCGAUGUGUGUCCCUCCUGAAGCUGUACACUCAAACUAAGAGGACCACCUUCCUGGAUAGAGGAGGAUCAUUCUUUGGUCAAGAGGAUAUGAGUAGCUAUGCUCUCUUGCCAGAACCUACAAACAAGCUCUCAAGGUCUUGUCUUGUCUUUUCUUUUCUUUCUUUUCUUUUC